rnacentral:rRNA from 1 species
CAAUAGCGUAUAUUAAAGUUGUUGCAGUUAAAAAGUUCGUAGUUGGAUCUGUGGUGUGCGGUGGGCUCCGGGCACUUGUUGUCUGAGUAGCUCGCCGCUGCCAUCCUUGGGUGGAACCUGUGUGGCAUUAGGUUGUCGUGCAGGGGAUGCCCAUCGUUUACUGUGAAAAAAUUAGAGUGUUCAAAGCAGGCUUAUGCCGUUGAAUAUAUUAGCAUGGAAUAAUGAGAUAGGACUUUUUCGCUAUUUUGUUGGUUUGCGCGAAGAGGUAAUGAUUAAUAGGGACAGUUGGGGGUAUUCGUAUUCCAUUGUCAGAGGUGAAAUUCUUGGAUUUUUGGAAGACGAACUACUGCGAAAGCAUUUACCAAGGAUGUUUUCAUUAA